rnacentral:rRNA from 1 species
UACAAACGACUCUCGGCAACGGAUAUCUCGGCUCACGCAUCGAUGAAGAACGUAGCAAAAUGCGAUACUUGGUGUGAAUUGCAGAAUCCCGUGAACCAUCGAGUUUUUGAACGCAAGUUGCGCCCGAAGCCUUUUGGCCGAGGGCACGUCUGCCUGGGCGUCACGU